UCCAUGAGACUCAGCUGUAAGGCAUUUUCUCAAUUAGUGAUCAACGGGGGAGGGUCCCUUGUGGGCAGUGCUGUCCCUGGACUGGUAGUCUUGGGUUCCUAUAAGAAAACAAGCUGGAGCAAGCCAGUAAGUAACAUCUCUCCAUGGCCUCUGCAUCAGCUCCUGCUUCCUGAUCUGUGUGAAUUCCAGUCCUGACUUCCUUUGGCGAUUGAUGAACAGCAAUGUGGAAGUGUACACUGAAUAAACCCUUUCCUUCCCAACUUGCUUCUUGGUCAUGAUUUUUGUGUAGGAAUAGAAACCCUGACUCAGGGCUGGAGAGAUGGCUCAGUAGUUAAGAGCACUGACUGCUCUUCCAGAAGUCCUGAGUUCAAAUCCCAGCAACCACAUGGUGGCUCACAACCAUCUGUAAUGAGAUCUGAUGCCCUCUUCUGGUGUGUCUGAAGACAGCUACAGUGUACUUACAUAUAAUAAAUUAAUCUUUAAAA
rnacentral:lncRNA from 1 species